AAAUGCGAUAAGUAAUGUGAAUUGCAUAAUUCCGUGAAUCAUCGAAUCUUUGAACGCACAUUGCGCCCUCUGGCAUUCCGGGGGGCAUGCCUGUCCGAGCGUCAUUACGCACCCUCAAGCCCGGCUUGUGUGAUGGGCCCCGGCGUCUCGUUCGCGAGACGGGCCCGAAAGGCAGCGGCGGCGUCGACCCGAUGAGCCCGAGCGUAUGGGGACUUCUGUCACACGUUCGCGGUGCGGACCGGCGCCUGCUUGACUUUUCUGAUUAUCCAGGUUGACCUCGGAUCAGGUAGGGAUACCCGCUGAACUUAAGC
rnacentral:misc_RNA from 1 species